rnacentral:rRNA from 1 species
CCUACGGGGGGCAGCAGUGAGGAAUAUUGGUCAAUGGGCUUACGCCUGAACCAGCCAAGUCGCGUGAGGGAAGACUGCCCUAUGGGUUGUAAACCUCUUUUGUCAGGGAGCAACACCGGCUACGUGUAGCCGGACUGAGAGUACCUGAAGAAAAAGCAUCGGCUAACUCCGUGCCAGCAGCCGCGGUAAUACGGAGGAUGCGAGCGUUAUCCGGAUUUAUGGGGUUUAAAGGGUGCGUAGGCGGAAUGCCAAGUCAGCGGUAAAAUCGCGGGGCUCAACCUCGCUCCGCCGUUGAAACUGGCGUUCUUGAGUGGGUGAGAGGUAUGCGGAAUGCGUGGUGUAGCGGUGAAAUGCAUAGAUAUCACGCAGAACUCCGAUUGCGAAGGCAGCAUACCGGCGCCCAACUGACGCUGAAGCACGAAAGCGUGGGUAUCGAACAGGAUUAGAUACCCUAGUAGUC